rnacentral:rRNA from 1 species
CUUGGUCAUUUAGAGGAAGUAAAAGUCGUAACAAGGUCUCCGUUGGUGAACCAGCGGAGGGAUCAUUACUGAGUUUUUAACUCUUAAACCAUAUGUGAACAUACCUUUUUUAGCUGCUUUGGCAGGUCUUGGUAAAACAAGUCCUGCCGGUAGUAUUUACAAAAACUCUUUAAUAUUUCUAGAGAAUUUAUUUUCAUUGCUGAGUGGCAUUAACAUAAUAAGUUAAAACUUUCAACAACGGAUCUCUUGGCUCUAGCAUCGAUGAAGAACGCAGCGAAAUGCGAUACGUAAUGUGAAUUGCAGAAUUCAGUGAAUCAUCGAAUCUUUGAACGCACAUUGCGCCUGGCAGUAUUCUGCCAGGCAUGCCUGUCCGAGCGUCAUUUCACCACUCAAGCUCUGCUUGGUGUUGGAGGACCCGCAUCUUGCGGGCCGCCGAAAUGCAUCGGCUGUUGAAUUUGCAGCUUCCCUGUGUAGUAAUAUUUAUUUUACGCUUUGAAACUCUUUUACAACAUCGCCGUAAAACCCCCCUCAAUUAUAUUUGAAAGGUUGACCUCGGAUCAGGUAGGAAUACCCGCUGAACUUAAGCAUAUC